UAAAUUUCUCCCAUUCAGCAAUUACUGUGCCAUUUAUCUGAGGCAUUGCUCACUAGAAGCAGUUAUAGCAAUGCACCUGCUCCACUAAUGCUGGACUUAGCUACCUAGAACUGGCAUCUGGCCCAAGCCAUUGGCACUCUGGGUAAUAGAAACUAUAAGCUACCUUGCUAUUUGAACAGAAGAAAAUAUAUAUGAACAAUGUGUAUUUUUCAGACAGACUCACACUCAGGCUGGCUCCAGACUUGUGACCCUCUGUCUCAACCUCUAGAGUACUAGGAUUGUAAAUACAUGCUAUGAUACCCAGAUCUGUGCAAGUUGCAAUUUAUUGUAUGCAAUACUUUUGAGAGAAUUUUUUCAUACCUUUAAGAAUCUGUAUUUGCUGAUGUUCUGGCCUAAUUGACACAGUUGGAGUGUAAAGGUGGUGAAAGACUACAUAGCAGUGUAUGUAAGGGUGACUGAGGAAGGAAGGAAAGGGCCAGUGUGGGGCUGUUCACGCUUUCCUAAUUGUCGAAAGUGCCAUAGAUUGCUUCUUGGCGGGGAGACAGCAUAGCCCUGGUAUUGAAAUGAGUAAGUAACCUGCCGUGUACAUGUGUUCUGUCAAAGGUUUGGAUAGCCUGGAGAACACAGAGGUUUCCAAGAAUGUUAUUAGAGAAUGGGUGACUGGGUGACUGUCUCUAAGACCUGCUGUUAACCCAGAGCACCAACAAGUCUUCAGUCCAGUUAAACCUUGGUCAUGCCAAGCACUAGCUGAACGGCUAAAGGCACAACCUAGAAAUCACUAGCUUGUUAACUGGCACAGGCAAACAGGAUAGAAUUUGUGUGGAAGUACAUUUGCUUCAGCACAUACUUGGGUUUUUCUGACUCACGUAUCCAAGACUCUGGAUCAGAAAAUGACCUCCUGAGAAAGGUUGAGAGUACUAGAUUGUUAUGGCAAGUGGUUCAUUGUUAAAGGUUUCUUUACUGUGUCUCUCGGGUUUCAUUGUGAGAGGGUCUAUUAUAUUUGCUUUUUCAGAGGAAUCCAUUUGUAGUAUUUUAAGAGCAAUCAGGAUUUUUUUUAUAUAUAUCUACAAAGCCCCAAGAUCAAAGGAACAUACAUAAGGAAAAUGGAUAUAGGUGUGUGUUUGUUUGUUUGUUUGCUUUAUUAAGUUUCUGAAAGUGAAAGUCUUAAAAGAAAUAAAGUGUCCUUCCAAAGAAGGGUAAGUAUAAACACUCUAGCAAAAGAAAAAGAAAAAAAGAAGUCUGCCUAUGUCUUCCUGAGUUUUUAUUUGUUUGCUUUUAUUGUAAAAUAGAACUGUAGGACUGGGGUUCUAACCCCAUGGUAGAGCAGUCACACAACACACCCAAGAGCCUGGAUUCUACCCCCAGCACCAGAAAAAUAAAUAUUGAGAGAUU
rnacentral:lncRNA from 1 species